AAUAUGUCAACCUCUUUUCUUGUAGAUGUGUUAUAGUUUGGAUCUGUAAUGCCUCUCAGCGGACCAUUGUUAAGAGUCCUGUUCCCAAACCUGGCAUUAGUGGUGGAAACUAAGAAGAUCCAAAACGAUCUGCCUUACUUUUGGGUGGUGUGAGUGAGUGAUGGCCAUCCCGUGAGCAGCGGGGAUGUACUCCCUUGAAGGCAUGCAAGUGUGUGAUUAAGGGAUAUACAUGCAUGACUCCAGGAUUUACUUCCUUCCUGUCCCACAGAGUUACUGAAGGGAGUGAGUUAUGGGAUAAUUUAUAACACGGCAGGCCCUUCCUGAAGACAGCCCUCGUCAAAACAGGAAGAUGAAACUCAGGUUUCAACGAGCAGACCACAGCUUGGGAUACUUUUUAAUUACAAGCAGAAAAAUCUUCAUACUUUUUCAUUUCCAACUCCUGUGCCCUCAAAGAGAUGUCUGCUUUAAGAUGGAGCUAUCUAGGGGAGCCUGUCAACUCUUCGCUGAGCUCUCCUUGUGGAUGUGGAUGUUUUGACAUCUUCAGCCUCAGACUUUGUGUCAGUCUUAGCAGCUGAAGGUGAAAAACUGGUAGCCCUCUCCAAGAGCAGGUAGCUGAGGGGCAAAAGAAGAAAGAACAGCACAGAUUUCAGAUCUUCUUCCAAUGCUCAGCAAUUGCCACCAACGCCAUGACAUCGGGCCUCCCCUUGUUUGCUUCUGGAAACCAUAUGUGUACUCUGUUUGUAACGGUUUGGCUAUGGUUGUU
rnacentral:lncRNA from 1 species